rnacentral:rRNA from 1 species
UGGGGAAUUUUGGACAAUGGGGGCAACCCUGAUCCAGCAAUGCCGCGUGAGUGAAGAAGGCCUUCGGGUUGUAAAGCUCUUUUGUCAGGGAAGAAACGGUGAGUCCUAAUAUGGCUUGCUAAUGACGGUACCUGAAGAAUAAGCACCGGCUAACUACGUGCCAGCAGCCGCGGUAAUACGUAGGGUGCAAGCGUUAAUCGGAAUUACUGGGCGUAAAGCGUGCGCAGGCGGUUAUAUAAGUCAGAUGUGAAAUCCCCGGGCUCAACCUGGGAACUGCAUUUGAGACUGUAUGGCUAGAGUGUGUCAGAGGGGGGUAGAAUUCCACGUGUAGCAGUGAAAUGCGUAGAUAUGUGGAGGAAUACCGAUGGCGAAGGCAGCCCCCUGGGAUAACACUGACGCUCAUGCACGAAAGCGUGGGGAGCAAACA